AGAGUUUGAUCCUGGCUCAGGAUGAACGCUAGCGGCAGGCCUAACACAUGCAAGUCGAGGGAGAAGCCCUUCGGGGCAGAAACCGGCGCACGGGUGCGUAACGCGUAUGCAACCUACCUUUCACAGGGGGAUAGCCCGAAGAAAUUUGGAUUAAUACCCCAUAAUAUUAUUGGAUGGCAUCAUUUGAUAAUUAAAACUGAGGUGGUGAAAGAUGGGCAUGCGUCCUAUUAGCUAGUUGGAGUGGUAACGGCACCCCAAGGCUACGAUAGGUAGGGGUCCUGAGAGGGAGAUCCCCCACACUGGUACUGAGACAGGGACCAGACUCCUACGGGAGGCAGCAGUGAGGAAUAUUGGUCAAUGGUCGGAAGACUGAACCAGCCAUGCCGCGUGCAGGAAGAAUGCCUUAUGGGUUGUAAACUGCUUUUAUAUGGGAAGAAUAAGGCGUACGUGUACGUUGAUGACGGUACCAUAUGAAUAAGCAUCGGCUAACUCCGUGCCAGCAGCCGCGGUAAUACGGAGGAUGCGAGCGUUAUUCGGAAUCAUUGGGUUUAAAGGGUCUGUAGGCGGGCUAUUAAGUCAGGGGUGAAAGGUUUCAGCUUAACUGAGAAAUUGCCUUUGAUACUGGUAGUCUUGAAUAUCUGUGAAGUUCUUGGAAUGUGUAGUGUAGCGGUGAAAUGCUUAGAUAUUACACAGAACACCGAUUGCGGAGGCAGGGGACUAACAGACGAUUGACGCUGAGAGACGAAAGCGUGGGGAGCGAACAGGAUUAGAUACCCUGGUAGUCCACGCUGUAAACGAUGGAUACUAGCUGUUUGGAGUAAUUUGAGUGGCUAAGCGAAAGUGAUAAGUAUCCCACCUGGGGAGUACGCACGCAAGUGUGAAACUCAAAGGAAUUGACGGGGGCCCGCACAAGCGGUGGAGCAUGUGGUUUAA
rnacentral:rRNA from 1 species